UGGGGAAUAUUGCACAAUGGGGGAAACCCUGAUGCAGCGACGCCGCGUGAACGAAGAAGGUAUUCGUAUCGUAAAGUUCUGUCCUAUGGGAAGAUAAUGACAGUACCAUAGAAGAAAGCUCCGGCUAAAUACGUGCCAGCAGCCGCGGUAAUACGUAUGGAGCGAGCGUUGUCCGGAAUUAUUGGGCGUAAAGGGUACGCAGGCGGUUUAAUAAGUCGAAUGUUAAAGAUCGGGGCUCAACCUCGCAAAGCAUUGGAAACUGAUAAACUUGAGUAGUGGAGAGGAAAGUGGAAUUCCUAGUGUAGUUGUGAAAUACGUAGAUAUUAGGAGGAAUACCAGUAGCGAAGGCGACUUUCUGGACACAAACUGACGCUGAGGUACGAAAGCGUGGGGAGCAAACAGG
rnacentral:rRNA from 1 species